rnacentral:rRNA from 1 species
GACGAACGCUGGCGGCGUGCUUAACACAUGCAAGUCGAACGGAAAGGCCCUGCUUUUGUGGGGUGCUCGAGUGGCGAACGGGUGAGUAACCCGUGAGUAACCUGCCAUUGCCUUUGGGAUAACUUCAGGAAACUGGGGCUAAUACCGGCUAGGAGCUCUUGCUGCAUGGUGGGGGCUGGAUAGUUUCGGCGGUUGGGGAUGGACUCGCGGCUGAUCGGCUUGUUGGUGGGGUAGUGGCUUACCAAGGCCUUGACGGGUAGCCGGCCUGGGCGGGUAACCGGCCACAUUGGGACGGGGAUGCGGCCCAGACUCCUACGGGAGGCAGCGGUGGGGAAUAUAGCACAAGAGGCGGAAGCCUGAUGCAGCAACGCCGCGUGCGGGAUGACAGCCUGCGGGUUGUAUUCCGCUGUCGCCUUAGACGAGGCGUGAGUGACGGUAAUGGGUAAAGAAGCACCGGCUAACUACGUG